rnacentral:rRNA from 1 species
AACUUUCGAUGGUAGGAUAGAGGCCUACCAUGGUGGUAACGGGUAACGGGGUGUUAGGGCACGACACCGGAGAGGGAGCCUGAGAAACGGCUACCACAUCCAAGGAUGGCAGCAGGCGCGCAAAUUACCCAAUCCCGACACGGGGAGGUAGUGACAAUAAAUAACAAUACGGGGUUCUUUUGGAUUUCGUAAUUGGAAUGAGUACAAUUUAAAUCUCUUAACGAGGAACAAUUGGAGGGCAAGUCUGGUGCCAGCAGCCGCGGUAAUUCCAGCUCCAAUAGCGUAUAUUAAAGUUGUUGCAGUUAAAAAGCUCGUAGUUGAAUUUCGGGGUUAGUAGAUCGGUCGUGCCACUGGUAUGUACUGGUCUCACUGAUUCCUCCUUCCUGAUGAACCGUAAUGCCAUUAAUUUGGUGUUGCGGGGAGACUGGACUGUUACUUUGAAAAAAUUAGAGUGUUUAAAGCAGGCUAACGCUUGAAUACAUUAGCAUGGAAUAACGGAAUAGGACGUUCGAUCUUAUUUUGUUGGUUUCUAAGAUUGACGUAAUGAUUAAUAGGGAUAGUUGGGGGCAUUAGUAUUCAAUUGUCAGAGGUGAAAUUCUUGGAUUUAUUGAAGACUAACUACUGCGAAAGCAUUUGCCAAGGAUGUUUUCAUUAAUCAAGAACGAAAGUUAGGGGAUCGAAGACGAUCAGAUACCGUCGUAGUCUUAACCAUAAACUAUGCCGACUAGGGAUCGGAUGAUGUUAAUUUUUUAAUGACUCAUUCGGCGCCUUACGGGAAACCAAAGUGUUUGGGUUC